UAUCAUUAAUAUCAUUAUUUUGGAAAAUUAGUCUUUCUACACCCUGCUACCCACCCCACCCCAUCAGCUUCAUGCAGAAAAAAGAAUUCUCUCGAAAGUUAUAGAUAAGGGGAUGUCUAUUCAUCAGUCUGGCUGGUCACUGGAGUGAAAGAUGUCACUGCCAGAUCCCCGGAUACACUGCAUAGUGGCACAGACUCCUGCAAUUGAAAGGGAGCCAGAUCAAGGAGUCAUUUAAUCCAGACCUCUCUCUUCUUGCAAGGCUCUGCCUGAAAUGUCUAAGACAGAUGGUUUGUCCUUAAAAUUCACCAGGGACAGAGAUUCCACAAUAUCACUCUGGAGCCUUUUCUAAUGUUUAAUCACUAUUUCUGUCAAGUCAAUUUAAGCUCUUUUCUGCUAGUUUUUCCUCUGCAGAGAUGGAAAACAGUUGGUCGGCAACCACUUUCUAAUCACCUUUCCAGUGCAAAAAGACACUUUCCAAGGUGGCCUUCAACCUUAUUUUUUCAAAGUUAUAUCAUUUCUCUUCUAACCAUCUUUAAUAUAUCAAUAUUUUAUCUCAUUAAUCAUUUGGAUUACUUUUCAUUAAACCCUUUCCAUUUGUUCUGUAUCACUUCAAACUUAGCAUUUUAGUAGGUGCUUUAAUUGUACUGUGCUUUUAUAAAUUUUAUUUAGUGUAGGACAAGGUAACUACACUUUCAUUUAUUCACCGACUAAGCUUUUGCUGAGUAUUUUUUGCCAGUAAGAAAAAGAUAGGCAAAUCUACUCUCUUACAAUAAGUAUUCUAAUAGAAGAAAUCAAGAAUAAUUACCAAUGGGUCUAUAAUAUAAUGUUAUACUAAGAAUAAAGUGCCUUGUAGUAAUUAGAAAAGGACCAGACUACUGUGCUAGAGACCCAACAAUAACUAAGUGGUUUGAAGAAGGGGUUUACUUCUUACCUAUAAUACUCCAGUGUGACUGCUUUGAGUCAUCAAGAAGUUCUGCUCCGGGAAGUCAUUCAGAGACCCCAGUCCUUCUAUCAUGUCGCACCAUCACACCUCAGGUCAUUGUCAUUAUCUUUAUAGUAUAAGCUGAGUCACUCUGAGUUCCAGCAACAGAGAGAAUGACAGGAUAAUGGAGCUACCCGAGGCACAGAAGUGGACACAUCACUUCCACUCUGUUCAGUGAAGAGAACACAGUUGCAGGGCCACACUUGACAAAGGAGGCUGGGAAGUGUAGCCUAACCACAUACCCAGGAAGAUGAGAAUAACUGUUAGGGGACCAGAGAAGGUUUUGCAAACACUAUCAAUGUUUCUCCCCAAUACCUUUAGAUCUCUUUUUACCUCUUUGUGUAUUUCUGCUUCCAACAGCAGACAACGGGCUGUGUUUUGGAAGAUCCCCUGGGGAAACUGGAUCUUUCUGUGCCAACACUGGAGAGUGCUUGUAUUUUACUUCCCCCCACUCCACUUCACCCAAGGGGGACUGAUGGAUGCAGGAAUAUGAAAUAUGUCCUUAUCCCCUGGUCAGAACAAUUCUGAGACGUGACUUUGUUCCAGAGUUUCUAUUCAGGCACAUGGCAAAGACAGUGAAACCAAAGGAAGCGAGGAAAUGCACAAUUAGAUACUGCACAAGAAGGACACCGUUAUCAUCCGACCCUCGGACACCACACGGAUGGAAUGAUUUCAAACAUGUCUAUAGAGUUAUCAUGAGCAGAACAAAAGAAGACUAAGAUAUGAAGGUGACCCAUUAAAAAAAUGUCAACAGAGGACACCUGGGUGGCUCAGGGCGUGAUCCUGGAGUCCUGGAAUCGAGUUCCACAUCAGGCACCCUACAUGGAGCCUGCUUCUCCCUCUGUGUCUCUACCUCUCUCUGUGUCUCUCAU